GGCCAAAAUUAAAUUACACCCGGCCAAGGCCAUGUAUGCUGUGGCUAAAUUGAGGAAUACGGAACCUAACGUUUGUUUAUAAUUCAUACUUAUGAACCAAAUUUAAAUUUUUAGAUGGGGCAAAUUUAGGUUAUUUGUUGCGUAAAUUUUUUAAAAAAAACAGACCUUUUUUAAUGUUUUAGUCAAAUUUUUUCACUUUUUUUCUUUUUCCAAUUUUUCUUUAAAUUGUUAAGGGUAAGUCUUUUUCCUUUGCAACACUUUCAAGUUUAAGUGUUGCGACCAUAUCCACGUACGUACUUCAUCUUCGAGACGACCGGCCGAGCUUGAAAAAAGUGCCCAGAAAAUACUGUCCAUGGCAUUAUUUAUUGCUGUCUCAGGCAACUCCCUACUCUUGACAUGUUUCCAGAUUUGUACUCGCUCCAGUCUUUUUUCGGAUUUAAGUAUAGUCGAAAUCUUAAUCUGGGUUUUGCCCGGUAAUAUUUCCUAUUCUCGGGGUGGGGCGGGGGGGGGGGGCAUUGCGCAAGAGAGGGUUGUGAAGUGAGGGGAAUUAAAAUGUUGACACUUGGAUUGACAACAUGUGUUCGAAGCAUAUUAGAUAUAUUACAGUUUGCAAACUAAAAUACGGAUUUUUGGAACAAAAUAGAUCAGGUUAGUAUGACUAAUUUAUUUCUAUUUGAUUCUGCUAGUGAUAUUUUAU